rnacentral:rRNA from 1 species
GGGUUUAGAACGUCGUGAGACAGUUCGGUCCCUAUCUGCCGUGGGCGCUGGAGAAUUGAGGGGGGCUGCUCCUAGUACGAGAGGACCGGAGUGGACGCAUCACUGGUGUUCGGGUUGUCAUGCCAAUGGCACUGCCCGGUAGCUAAAUGCGGAAGAGAUAAGUGCUGAAAGCAUCUAAGCACGAAACUUGCCCCGAGAUGAGUUCUCCCUGAGACUUUAAGUCUCCUGAAGGAACGUUGAAGACGACGACGUUGAUAGGCCGGGUGUGUAAGCGCAGCGAUGCGUUGAGCUAACCGGUACUAAUG